rnacentral:rRNA from 1 species
UACGGAGGGGGCUAGCGUUGUUCGGAAUUACUGGGCGUAAAGCGCGCGUAGGCGGACCUGCAAGUCGGGGGUGAAAGCCCGAGGCUCAACCUCGGAACUGCCUUCGAUACUGCGGGUCUCGAGUCCGGGAGAGGUGAGUGGAAUUCCUAGUGUAGAGGUGAAAUGCGCAGAUAUCAGGAAGAACACCUAUGGCGAAGGCAGCACUCUGGGACGGUACUGACGCUGAGACGCGAAAGCGUGGGAAGCGAACAGG